rnacentral:rRNA from 1 species
AUUGAACGCUGGCGGCAUGCUUUACACAUGCAAGUCGAACGGUAACAGGCCGCAAGGUGCUGACGAGUGGCGAACGGGUGAGUAAUGCAUCGGAACGUGCCCAGUCGUGGGGGAUAACGCAGCGAAAGCUGCGCUAAUACCGCAUACGAUCUAUGGAUGAAAGCGGGGGACCGAAAGGCCUCGCGCGAUUGGAGCGGCCGAUGUCAGAUUAGGUAGUUGGUGGGGUAAAGGCCCACCAAGCCAACGAUCUGUAGCUGGUCUGAGAGGACGACCAGCCACACUGGGACUGAGACACGGCCCAGACUCCUACGGGAGGCAGCAGUGGGGAAUUUUGGACAAUGGGCGCAAGCCUGAUCCAGCAAUGCCGCGUGCAGGAAGAAGGCCUUCGGGUUGUAAACUGCUUUUGUACGGAACGAAACGGUCCGGGUUAAUACCCUGGACUAAUGACGGUACCGUAAGAAUAAGCACCGGCUAACUACGUGCCAGCAGCCGCAGUAAUAC